rnacentral:rRNA from 1 species
UACGUAGGGGGCUAGCGUUGUCCGGAUUUAUUGGGCGUAAAGAGCGUGUAGGCGGCUUGGCAAGUCUGCUGUGAAAACUCGAGGCUCAACCUCGAGCUGUCGGUGGAAACUGCUUGGCUAGAGUCCGGAAGAGGAGAGUGGAAUUCCUGGUGUAGCGGUGAAAUGCGCAGAUAUCAGGAAGAACACCUAUGGCGAAGGCAGCUCUCUGGGACGGUACUGACGCUGAGACGCGAAAGCGUGGGGAGCGAACAGG